GUCCCUAUCGUCUAGAGGCCUAGGACAUCGCCCUUUCACGGCGGUAACCGGGGUUCGAAUCCCCGUAAGGACGCCA
rnacentral:tRNA from 1 species